UAUGGCAGUUUGCUGUACCAGAAGUGGCACCUGAAUGUGUCAGUUUUGAGAAUACAGUUGAGCUCGGUUAGUUUACUACAGUACCCUCUGUUUCUCUUGUGUCUGCAUGUCUGUGUGUGUCUUUCUGUUAUCCAUGGUUUUCUUUUGGCUGAUGUUUUUCUUUCUUUUUAUCAUUUUACAACAAGAAAUCAUUGAAUUUAGAAAUAUAUUUAUCAGGAUUGGUUUGAUGAAACUGAUUGAUCUCAGAUGCAAUUAGUUUCUUCCAUUUUGUAAAUUUUAUAUUUGUGCCCAUUGUGACUCCUUCCUUUCUUCCCGUCUCCUCUUACUCCUUUCUCUUCUUCCUCCUUUUCUGUUUUUUUUUUCCCUAAUUUCACUUGAAUUGGGCAAGUCUUCAAUAGGUUGCUUUAAUGCUGGCUUAACAUGGGUAUCAUAAAAUUUAAACAUAUGUAGUAUCAAGACUUUUUUUAAAUUUUUUUUUUAUUUUUUAUUUUUUGGUUUUUCGAGACAGGGUUUCUCUGUGUAGCUUUGCGCCUUUCCUGGAACUCACUUGGUAGCCCAGGCUGGCCUCGAACUCACAGAGAUCCGCCUGGCUCUGCCUCCCAAGUGCUGGGAUUAAAGGUGUGCGCCACCACCGCCCGGCUAUAGUAUCAAGACUUUUUGAACAAAGCUUUCUAGAACGUGCUUUAAUUCUCCCUGGAACACAUUCCGUGUUAUUGUUGCCUAGAGAGUUAGAUGUUCAUUAAAAAUUAGUAUUUUCUAAUUGAUUUUUAAUUAAAUUCCUCAGUAUACCUUAUCAAUUUCUGUACCCUCUCCAGUUUUGCAUAACUGUUCUUCACAGUCAUGAUGUUGUGGUAACAGACAGCUUGAGAAGGGGUGGCUUAGCAUGCUGUGUUCCCUGUCAGCCGGGGCUCAGUUCCUGAGUUCUGAAGGUCCCCUAAAGCAGCAGUCCUGUUGGGAGCUGGUGGAGGGGCUGGAAGAUAGGGCUGGGAGAAUAUUCUAGUUCUUUAAACUUGGGGGCCAGAAAAUUAGAUCUUGUUUCUGUCCAUUUUCCUUUGACUAAUAUCACUUCAAGAGGGACAGGAGAAUAUCAUUUCUUGUGGACAGGCUAGGGAGAGGUGGUGAAUUGUAGACGCUCAUGGACAGGAUCAUGGGAUAUGGUGGCUUGUGAAGGCUUUAGGUUGGUUUCUGUUACUUUCCUAAUGGAGCAUGUUCUUCAGUGAUUGUUUCAUUUAGCAUGUGUGAGCAGCACACUCUCAUUUUCCCACGUGUAAGAGCCGUUUUCUUACCCUCACACUUAGCGAGCUGUCUGAGUGUGUCUAUGGUCUGAGACUGACCACGUCUUGCUAGACUCCCUUUGAAAUGUUCUGCUGCCAUCUUGGCUUGUGCUAAGAUUCAGAGAUCUCUGCCGCCUCACUGCCCCGGCUUUGCAUGUCAUUUCUUCCUUUUGGCGGCAUUUAGACGUUGAUUUCUGGACUGAGCAUGGCAUUAGUCUCCGCUAUCUUCUCAAAGCUUGGUCGUGUACAUUUAAUGACAGGCCUGUGUCUGUCUUCAGUUCUGAAAGUCCCGAGCGUUGCUUGUUCAGUUCCAUUGUGUUGGGGUGCCCAUUAGAUAUGUGCCAGAGCCGCUCAGAUUGCCUGUGUCUUCAACCCCGUCUAGAAUUUAUCCUGUUCAUUUUUUCUAUUUUCUCAUAUAUAUUAUAUACAAAAUUACAUAUAUUUCCAAGAUUUCAUUUAACUUUCAUAAGCACCUUUUCUAUUUCAUCAUUUAUUUUAUUUUUUUCUGGGUGCUCUUCUUUUAUCUUCUUGGCCAUUUUAACCAUAUUUUAAAGUAUUUGCUCAUCGUUUUAUGACAUCGAUUUCAUUUGGAACUAGCUUAAUUAAUUGAUGUAUUUUGAUGGCUCUCUUAGCAUUAUCUUUCUUUGUUUUACGGUUUGCAUUUAUGAGCUCAUGUGUGGAGAGACAAUGUCCCCUCGCCCUCUUCCUUUGUGCUUCCAUCUUCUUGUGCGGAGGUCGACCCCUUGUGUCGACUUAGGCUCCCACGCCCCAGCUAUGAAAAGGUCAGAUGGUCAGAUGGUACUUGGGAUGACACAGGGCAUACAGCUCAUUGGUCCACAUAGAGGACCAUUUUCUUCUCAUCCUUCACUAGACGCUGUGUUCUAACACCCCGGCCCCCAGAUGCUGAGACAUUUACUCUUCAGCCUUCGAAGCCAUUCCGGAGGCAGGGAGAGCUACCACAGCCUAGGCCCCAGGCAGUGAACUCCAGCUACUGUCAUGGAGCUGUCUGUCUGUCAUGGAACAUGGAACAUGGAACAUGGAACAUGCUUAGCCUCCAUUGUGUCUGGUAGGAACAAGCUCCACAGCCAGCACCCGAGUCUGAAAGCCUGUGAUGCUUGCUCCGUUUUCCCCUCAUUAUUACUCGGGGCUUUUGCUUCCUGCUUUGAUUCUCCAAGAAUGUCUGACUUGAUUUUGAGCUGGAGACAGCUCUCUGGUCUGUUGUUACUUUUACUUAUUUAUUUUUAAUAUUGUUGCUGGGUUUUCUUUUUCAUCUAUUGUUUCUAAUUGCUUGAAGGAGGAGGAGAAGAUCAUCUUUAGGUUGCGAACUCACUAAGCUGUCCUGUUGGGAGACCACUUGUCUCCACCCUCUCUGCUUUAUCUAAGCACUAUAAAAAUGAAAGUCCAUAGCUGCUAAUGCAAGGAAACUCAGAACUGCAGGCAAGACUACGAGGCACAUUUCAGAGUCACAAGAGUCAAAUCCUACGCUGGAUUCCUUAACAACACCUUCUUAUCAUGUCAAGCAGAGAAUAACCACUGUGUCAAAUGCUUUUGGCCAAGAUUGCAAAUACAUAGGGAAAUUCAGCAAAGGUCAAACAUAAUUGACAUCCACAUCUAGCUGGUCAUGGGCUGUGAUGCCUUUGCCCACAUUCAUAGGUUUCAGUCCUUGUCCUAUGACUUCAGAAUGUGACAAAAUUUGGAGAUAGAGUCUUUAUAGUAAUUAAGAAGAGGUCAUGGGGUAGGCACUAAUUCGUGUGCAACUUUAUUGUUUUUAAUUUAAUUUUGUGUGGUGUUGGUGAUUGAUUCCCAGGGUCUUGCACAUGCUAGGCUAGCACUCUACCACUGAUCUACACUCCCAGCCCAGUGGGCUCAGGUUCAGUGCAACUGGUGUUCACAGGAUAAGAUGUGAUUAGAACACAAUCAGAUGCAGAAGACAACCAUGUGAAGACAGCUCCAAUGGCCAGCUGCCAGCUCAGAAGAAAACAACCCUGCUGAUCUCUAAUUGGGGAUUUCCAGUCUCAAGAACUAAACUGCUGCUGCUGCUGCUGCUGCUGCUGCUGCUGUGUGUGUGUGUGUGUGUGUGUGUGUAUGAUAAUACAUACUAGAUGUUCUUGUUCAAUAAAGACAUUAUGAAAAGACA